CGGGAACAGGCUAACCAGACUAGAAGUUGCAAGUCGAGCGAACGGACGAGGAAGCUUGCUUCUCUGAUGUUAGCGGCGGACGGGUGAGUAACACGUGGAUAACCUACCUAUAAGACUGGGAUAACUUCGGGAAACCGGAGCUAAUACCGGAUAAUAUUUUGAACCGCAUGGUUCAAAAGUGAAAGACGGUCUUGCUGUCACUUAUAGAUGGAUCCGCGCUGCAUUAGCUAGUUGGUAAGGUAACGGCUUACCAAGGCAACGAUGCAUAGCCGACCUGAGAGGGUGAUCGGCCACACUGGAACUGAGACACGGUCCAGACUCCUACGGGAGGCAGCAGUAGGGAAUCUUCCGCAAUGGGCGAAAGCCUGACGGAGCAACGCCGCGUGAGUGAUGAAGGUCUUCGGAUCGUAAAACUCUGUUAUUAGGGAAGAACAUAUGUGUAAGUAACUGUGCACAUCUUGACGGUACCUAAUCAGAAAGCCACGGCUAACUACGUGCCAGCAGCCGCGGUAAUACGUAGGUGGCAAGCGUUAUCCGGAAUUAUUGGGCGUAAAGCGCGCGUAGGCGGUUUUUUAAGUCUGAUGUGAAAGCCCACGGCUCAACCGUGGAGGGUCAUUGGAAACUGGAAAACUUGAGUGCAGAAGAGGAAAGUGGAAUUCCAUGUGUAGCGGUGAAAUGCGCAGAGAUAUGGAGGAACACCAGUGGCGAAGGCGACUUUCUGGUCUGUAACUGACGCUGAUGUGCGAAAGCGUGGGGAUCAAACAGGAUUAGAUACCCUGGUAGUCCACGCCGUAAACGAUGAGUGCUAAGUGUUAGGGGGUUUCCGCCCCUUAGUGCUGCAGCUAACGCAUUAAGCACUCCGCCUGGGGAGUACGACCGCAAGGUUGAAACUCAAAGGAAUUGACGGGGACCCGCACAAGCGGUGGAGCAUGUGGUUUAAUUCGAAGCAACGCGAAGAACCUUACCAAAUCUUGACAUCCUUUGACAACUCUAGAGAUAGAGCUUUCCCCUUCGGGGGACAAAGUGACAGUGUGCAUGGUGUCGUCAGCUCGUGUCGUGAGAUGUUGGGUUAGUCCCGCACGAGCGCACCCUUAGCUUAGUGCCAUCAUUAGUGGGCCCCUCUAGUGACUGCCGUGACACCGAGAGGUGGGGAUGACGUCAUCAUCAUGCCCUAUGAUUGGGCUACCCACCGUGCUACAUUGACAAUACAAGGCAGCCGAACCGAGUCAGCCAUCCCUAAGUGUUCUCAGUCGAUUGUAAUGCUGCAACUCGAACUUCAUUGUAGAACCUGA
rnacentral:rRNA from 1 species